rnacentral:rRNA from 1 species
CAGCAGCCGCGGUAAUACGAAGGGGGCUAGCGUUGUUCGGAAUCACUGGGCGUAAAGGGUGCGUAGGCGGGCGACUCAGUCAGGGGUGAAAUCCCGAGGCUCAACCUCGGAACUGCCUUUGAUACUGGUUGUCUUGAGUCCGGAAGAGGUGAGUGGAACUGCGAGUGUAGAGGUGAAAUUCGUAGAUAUUCGCAAGAACACCGGUGGCGAAGGCGGCUCACUGGUCCGGAACUGACGCUGAGGCACGACAGCGUGGGGAGCAAACAGGAUUAGAUACCCCCGUAGUCCCUGUCUCUUAUAC